rnacentral:rRNA from 1 species
GAUGAACGCUGGCGGCGUGCCUAACACAUGCAAGUCGAACGCCCUCUCGCAAGAGAGGGAGUGGCGGACGGGUGAGUAUCACGUGGGUACCUGCCUCGAGGUGAGGAAUACCGGCGAGAAAUCGCCGACAAUACCGCAUACGCUCUCGUACGAGAGCAAAGCCGUAAGGCGCCUUGAGAGGGGCCUGCGCCCGAUUAGCCAGUUGGUGGGGUAAUGGCCUACCAAAGCUGUGAUCGGUCGCUGGUCUGAGAGGACGAUCAGCCACACUGGGAUUGAGAACGGCCCAGACUCCUACGGGGGGCAGCAGUGAGGAAUCUUCGUCAAUGGGGGCAACCCUGAACGAGCAACGCCGCGUGCAGGAUGACGGUCUUCGGAUUGUAAACUGCUUUUCUUGGGGACGAGCAAACGGACGGUACCCGAGGAACAAGCCCCGGCUAACUACGUGCCAGCCGCCGCCGUAACAC